ACCAAGAUUUGGUGUUAGGGCCCCUGCCCAGCAGAUGGUGCCAGAGUGAGAGCACAGUUCCUGCCCCACCCAACCAUGUCCCCUCCACAGCUCCAUGGCUGCAUCGACAGGCUCAGAUUCAGAGUGGAAAGUGAUUGGUGGAGGCCCAAUACGUUCAGAUAUUUUCCUUUGGGUACAUGGUUCAGUGGACACCGUGGCCCAGUGUGCCUCAACUCAGAGAAGGACUAAGUUUCUUUCACCCCAUCUCGGGUUCAAUCUCUGGACAAUCAUGUGGCCCAAUGUCUAGAGAGUUUGUCAGGCUCCCUGGGGCCUGAGUGCCCAUUGCUUGUUUGAAGUACAACACUGGACCCAGAAAUCCCAGAAAUUCCAAAACAUGAAGUGUUUUGGAAUCAGGAUGCUGUGAAAUUUGGUUUCUAGAAACUGAGGCCUUUUGUUAUGAAUGCAGCAUAUCAAUGCAUUUGUAUACUAGGGGCAGGUCUUAGCCUGUCCCUAUGCCCUUUCACUCUAGGGAUCUCUACAUCCUCCUCUUUCCCACUCCACCUGAGCCACCUACACCUCUUUGGGGGACCCUUGUGCCAAGAAACCUACCUUAAUCCAGAUCAAGUGAAUGAAGCCUGGGAUUCUGGAUCUCAAGGUCUCCUCAAACUUCUUCCCUCACAUCCGAGUCUCUUCCUCCCCUAG
rnacentral:lncRNA from 1 species